rnacentral:tRNA from 1 species
GCCUUCGUGGUGUAGUGAUCAGCACGUGUGACCGAGAGGUCCAUGGUUCGAUUCCCGGCGAAGGCA